GAGAGCCAAACUCUGAGGCAAAAAAGCUUCACAGAUAAUGAUUAUUGACUAAUGAGCCAGUGAAGUCCAUGUGAAAUCUUUGACAAUUGAGGGGGACUUUUCUAUUUAUGACCCUAUAAAACAACAAUUUCAAGAUCUUCACUUCCAAGGGAAUCCUGAGAUGAUAGAACUAUUUGCAUACAAGGAGAGCUUGGUCUUACUUGAUUUAGUAACUAAAUCUUGGCCUAGCUAAUUUCACAACAAUGGGAAUGAAAAAGUUUGAGAGCCGAACUCUGAGGCAAAAAAGCUUCACAAAUAAUGAUAAUUGACUAAUGAGCCAGUGAAGUCCAUGUGAAAUCUUUGACUGAUUUUCUUCUUGUUUCUGGAGGUUUAGCUGUUCAUUAGCUUUCUGCAUGAAGUUUAAAUUUUGGAUUGUGAAUAUUAGUCACCUCUAUGUUACAUGUAUAAAUUUGUGAGGAAAAUGAAAGACAUGGUAAUUGUACCAUUAUGUUACCUGAGCUCUUUUACUGCCAGUUUUUUUUUAAUUACAAUGAAUCCAUGCAACAUGUAAUCUUCUAUGCGAUGAACACAGAUGUGAGAGUUGACUAUUGAUACUCAGUAGUGGGGCUCUCAACAAUAUUGCAUUGCUCGGUUCGAAGAAUAGAUUUUGGAAUGUUAUUUGUAUAGCUUGAAAACUGAUUGGUUUGGCUUAAGUCCUGCUAAUGCACAUCUUUUACAUCCUUCCUCUCUGGUGGAUCAGCCAUUGCUGUUUCGAUCCUUUUUUAACACCCUACGAUGUCCUACUCUGGCGAUCCUGUUCUGUUAUUGCAUUCGUAAAAGGUACAAAAUUUAAAGAUAUUCUUGGUUCUUCAUGCAGAUUGACAGGUUGCUAUUCUUGAACAUCUUUUGUAUCGAGAUUGCAAGGAAUAAUGCAUCAGUGAAUUUUGAAAGUUUGCAGGAACCAACUCUUCACUGAUAGCUGUUACAAACUUGUUGAUUGUUGUUGUUUGAUGUAUAAUCUUAAUAGAGCAGAACUUUCUUGUAUGUGAAGUUCAUUGUUUGAAGAAUAGCUUGUUUUGUAUGGACUACUUACUGCUUUUUCACUUUUGAAGUUGCUCUCUCAUUGAAAUUGUAAAUGUUUGCUAGAAGCUAAGAAUGCCACUAUUGUACACAGGUAGAGGAAGGCAAAGAAAUGUACACAUGAAAAAGAUUUGUUGACACGGAAUAUGUGCUCAAGGAAAUGGAGUUUUUACUCUUGAGGAUUUAAGUCAUGUAGACUAUGAAAGAUUUUGCUAAAUACUAGUGUUCAACAAUGUAUUAAAAAAUCGUAAAGUUGAAUUAGAAUAUUUUAUUUAGAACAAGGAGAGAAGUUGAUAGCAAGACCAUGAAAUUUAAUAAAAGUUGAAACGUGGGCGAGAUUUCUUUUUUAAUAUU
rnacentral:lncRNA from 1 species